rnacentral:rRNA from 1 species
UACAGAGGGUGCAAGCGUUAAUCGGAAUUACUGGGCGUAAAGCGCGCGUAGGUGGUUCGUUAAGUUGGAUGUGAAAUCCCCGGGCUCAACCUGGGAACUGCAUUCAAAACUGACGAGCUAGAGUAUGGUAGAGGGUGGUGGAAUUUCCUGUGUAGCGGUGAAAUGCGUAGAUAUAGGAGGGAACACCAGUGGCGAAGGCGACCACCUGGACUGAUACUGACACUGAGGUGCGAAAGCGUGGGGAGCAAACAGG